AGUUGGUCUGAUGGUAGUGGAUUAUCAGAAUUUAUUAACAUAAGUGUCACUAAAGUUGGUAUACCACCACCACCCCCCACUGCUAAAUUUGGCUAAAUAAUU
rnacentral:Y_RNA from 1 species